rnacentral:rRNA from 1 species
GAGUUUGAUCGUGGCUCAGGAUGAACGCUAGCUACAGGCCUAACACAUGCAAGUCGAGGGGAAACGGGAAAGCAGCUUGCUGCUUUCUGUCGUCGACCGGCGCACGGGUGAGUAACGCGUAUCCAACCUUCCCAUAACUAAGGGAUACCCCGUAGAAAUGCGGCCUAAUACCUUAUGUACUCCCAUGACGGCAUCAGAAUGGGAGCAAAGAAUUUCGGUUAUGGAUGGGGAUGCGUCUGAUUAGCUUGCUGGCGGGGUAACGGCCCACCAGGGCAUCGAUCAGUAGGGGUUCUGAGAGGAAGGUCCCCCACAUUGGAACUGAGACACGGUCCAAACUCCUACGGGAGGCAGCAGUGAGGAAUAUUGGUCAAUGGGCGUAAGCCUGAACCAGCCAAGUAGCGUGCAGGAUGACGGCCCUAUGGGUUGUAAACUGCUUCUACAGGGGAAUAAAGUGAUUCACGUGUGUUUCAUUGCAUGUACCCUGCGAAUAAGGACCGGCUAAUUCCGUGCCAGCAGCCG